UACGAAGGGGGCUAGCGUUGUUCGGAUUUACUGGGCGUAAAGCGCACGUAGGCGGAUCUUUAAGUCAGGGGUGAAAUCCUGGAGCUCAACUCCAGAACUGCCUUUGAUACUGGUGAUCUUGAGUCCGGGAGAGGUGAGUGGAACUGCGAGUGUAGAGGUGAAAUUCGUAGAUAUUCGCAAGAACACCAGUGGCGAAGGCGGCUCACUGGCCCGGUACUGACGCUGAGGUGCGAAAGCGUGGGGAGCAAACAGGG
rnacentral:rRNA from 1 species